GAUGAACGCUGGCGGCGUGCCUAAUACAUGCAAGUCGAGCGAAUGGAUUAAGAGCUUGCUCUUAUGAAGUUAGCGGCGGACGGGUGAGUAACACGUGGGUAACCUGUCCAUAAGACUGGGAUAACUCCGGGAAACCGGGGCUAAUACCGGAUAACAUUUUGAACCGCAUGGUUCGAAAUUGAAAGGCGGCUUCGGCUGUCACUUAUGGAUGGACCCGCGUCGCAUUAGCUAGUUGGUGAGGUAACGGCUCACCAAGGCAACGAUGCGUAGCCGACCUGAGAGGGUGAUCGGCCACACUGGGACUGAGACACGGCCCAGACUCCUACGGGAGUCAGCAGUAGGGAAUCUUCCGCAAUGGACGAAAGUCUGACGGAGCAACGCCGCGUGAGUGAUGAAGGCUUUCGGGUCGUAAAACUCUGUUGUUAGGGAAGAACAAGUGCUAGUUGAAUAAGCUGGCACCUUGACGGUACCUAACCAGAAAGCCACGGCUAACUACGUGCCAGCCGCCGCGGUAC
rnacentral:rRNA from 1 species